CCUGAUAGCCAUUGCCGACCGUCAAAAAUUCAAACCUUCACCCCGGUAGAAAGCCACCGCCGGUAAAAACGACCUCACGGUUCGGUGUUCACCAGCAAUGAAAUCAGCCACGUCGGAUACCGCCGGCAAAUACUUUACAACACCUUGCAGCCUAAGGUAUAGUAAAGCUUUUACCUUAAUUCCAACAAUAUAUGUUAUUAAUACAUCAUUAUCUUUAGUAGACUUGACUUGUUAUCUACGUACCUUAUAAUUUCGUAGGAUUUCCAUAUAUGAAUUCUUAAAUAGUAAGAUAAUGUCGAGAAUUAAUUGCAUAGAAUUCUAAUGGUCAAACUAAGCAACGAUUUGACAGCAAUACGAGCUCAUCCUAAUGUUCAUGCAAAGAAAGGAUUAUUAUGCAUCAACCAAAAUCCAUGACAAUAGUCAUGAAAGGGGUGAUGUAUAUAUCAUCCAACCAAAACUCCAAAUGGAAUUAUUCUUUUCAUGAACAAAAAGGGGUGGAACCCAGUAUUUUCAACACAUUGUUGUAUAGAAGAUGAAAAUUAAAUACUGCAAAGUUAAAUAUCUAAAACUGAAUAAAGCGUUCAAAAAAUCAUAUAUUUUUUUUGUCACCAAUCCACUAUCGUAUUUCAUACCAAUUCAAUAAAUAAUAACACAAAAUAAAAUUAAAAAAAAUAAAAUAAAAUUCAAGAUUUCUAAACUGAAAAACAUGGUUUGAAAAAGUUGUUUUUUUGACAAUUCAUCUACAUAAAUUAAAAAAAAAUUAAAUUCAAGAUUUCUAAACUGAAAAACAUGGUUUGAAAAAGUUAUUGUUUUGGACAAUUCAUCUAAAUGAAAAGGUAUGUUUAAGGAAAUGACCGAAAAGGACAUAAUGUAAAGAAAGAACUACCUAAUAUCCAACCAAAGCACACAAUAAAACAAAAGGGUACCAAUAUAUUACUAUUAUAUAUAUGAAAUAAGUCAAUCAAUCAUUGGUACUAAUCAAUCCACACCUCUCUCUCAUAAGUUGCCCCUAAUGACGGGGCAAAUUGGUAAUUUCACCUCUGAAGAAAUACUGAGAAAUCUUCACGCCAUUGGAUCAUCCAUUGCCAGUUAUAGUAACCAUACGCAAAAAUCUUUGAUAAUUCCAUUUUUGUCCUCCUCACAUCUUCCCUCUUGAUCAAUGGAGAAGAUUAUUGGGACACGUGCAAAGAUGACAGCCCUCCCUUCCUCCUCUGUCAAUCAUACAAUCAAAAUUAGACAUUUCAUGUUCUUGGUUUUAAACCCAAAUGAAUUCAGAUAUUAAUGUUUCUAAAGGAGUAAUAACUCAUCUCUUUAUUUGUCGUUUUAAUAAUAAAAGAUAUAAAUGAUGUAAAGAUUAUAAAGAUGGCUAAACUAAAUUAUCUAAAAAAUAAGUAUAUAUCAAACUAAAUUUGAAAAAUUAAGUUUCCUUAAACUCAUUGUAUAUGGUAUUCAUAUUCACAAUCUAAUUAAAAUAAGAAUACGGUCCUUCCAUUAGACUUAUUUACAUUGAAAGUAGAGAAGAAUAAUUGCAUUUAUCUGACUCAUAAAAAAUUUCAAAACUUUUUUUUAGAAUAAAGUAGAAUAAAAGACACCCACAAAAGGAUAAUUUAUUUUCAAGAAAAAAGAAGCAUAUACCUACGUAUAUAUAACAUAUUUGUAUGUUUAUACACAUCCUUUACAUUCCUAUGUGUCUAUAAGGAAUGUUAAAACAUAUGAACGAUGAUGAAGAAUCAUAUUUUUCAGAAAAUUAUCAACAUGCAUAAUCUUAUUCUCAAAAAACCAAUGAAAAUUCAAGAUACACACAUUCAUAUGACAUAGAUACAUGUAAACACACAUACAUACAUGCAUAUGUAUACAUAUAUGAAUACACGUAUGUAUAUACAUAGAUAUACAACAUAUAGAUACAAGAUGAUGAUGCAUGAAUGAGAGAAAGAGACUUACAAGUAUGAGUUGAGGAAGAAGAGAUUCAAGAAGGUUUGGGGGGUAAAGAGAGGGGNNNNNNNNGGUUGAGAAGGCGUGUAGUUUGUUAGGUAGCUGGGCUGGAUGACAGAGGUUGCGUGUGGGAUUUCAACAUGCUUAUAUAUAGCUGGCCUUAUAUAGAGAGUCGAAAGUACUAAAUUCAAGAAAAUUUACAACAUUUACUUCAAAAAGUACAGGUUACUGAAGAGUAGUUGUUCUGAAAUAAAAAAUAUUACUCUGAAAAUAGGCACCUGUAAGUAUAUGUUAUCUCCUAUUAUGUAAGUUGCUUAGGUCAC
rnacentral:lncRNA from 1 species